UACGUAGGGACCAAGCGUUGUUCGGAUUUACUGGGCGUAAAGGGCGCGUAGGCGGCAAUUCAAGUCAGUUGAGAAAUCUCCGAGCUUAACUCGGAACGGUCAACUGAUACUGUUUUGCUAGAGUACAGAAGGGGCAAUCGGAAUUCUUGGUGUAGCGGUGAAAUGCGUAGAUAUCAAGAGGAACACCUGAGGUGAAGACGGGUUGUUGGGCUGAUACUGACGCUGAGGCGCGAAAGCUAGGGUAGCAAACGGG
rnacentral:rRNA from 1 species